GUGUCUGCAGUCCAAACCAAAGCGCUGGAAAGAAUGGGGAGAGGAGAAGGGCUGCGAGCUGCUGUCAGCGAGACUCCUGCCCAGAGACAAGCUGGGGAAGGGGGUGCUCAGUGUCAGGGCUUUGAUUUUUCACUCCUGUGCGGUGCCAUGUGGCCUGGGGGGAGGGAGAGCUGGGGAAGCGUGACUGAGAAGCAAGCUCCCCCCUCCAGGCAGGCCGGAGAAUGGGCAGUCCCAGCAGUCAGACAUGUCAGUGGUUGCUUGGCGAGAAAGGCAUGUAGCUGCUGCUGGGAGAAGGGGAAAGGAAGCGGAGCUGCCAUUGUAGGGGCAGACACUGGGGAGCUGCACUAACUCCCCCCACCCCGCAGCACGGAGCCGCUCCUGGCCAGGGGAGCGCCAGCCUCCCCCGCGGAGGAGGAAUAUUGAGAAGCUGGACUUUUAUCAAACUUGCCUCCGCUCUCCCCUCCUCUCUCUUUCCCUGCCCCCUCCUCCUUCUCUCCUCCCCCCUCUCUCUGGGCGAUGUUUAUUUGGGCAGCUGUGUGAGGCGCAGGAGGAGGUGGGGAAUUUCUCUCUCCCCGGCUGGAGUGGUUAGAGAGAGGCACACACUACUCUGGGGAGGGAAGGAAACAAAAUGUCUGCCAGAGCUGCGGCUGCUUCUUCCAAGCUUGAUUCUGAUCCUGCAAUCUUGAUUAACAGUAGUAAUCUUUAAAUGCAAACCAGGCCAUUAAACUUAAUGAAACUACCCUAUGAGCAAGACUUACUCAUGUGAACAGUGAUUGCAGAAUAACUGAUCACAGCGGAUACGUUAUGGCAAUUGAAGAGGACCCCGGCCUUCCGCGAAGCCUGAGCCUGUAAGCUGGAAAAAUACUCCUCCAUGGCCGACACCCUGAGAGCAAAGGGCUACAAGGUGCAGAUGGAUGCCCUGGUCGUUGGAGCCCUCUGUGCCUGGGUCCCCUACAAUGAGUGUGUGCUGCAGACCUGUGGGAUCGGUCGACGCUAUGCACGGCUCAUGCGGUGCCUCAUGGUCUCGGACGCCAUCCGGUGGUCCAGGGACAUCUACAUCGAACACAUCACCGGCCACCAACAGUACCAGCAGGUGUGAGCCAGAACAACAUCUUGCAUCAACUAUGAGAAAGGGACCGAGAGACUUUUACCAUUGGACCAUAUGAACUGGAACCAUAAACUCACUGAAUGCAUCCGAUUAAGUGAGCUGUAGCUCACGAAGCUUAUGCUCAAAUAAAUUUUGUUAGCUUCUAA